GGCCAUCAAGGAGUGGGGCCAGCCCAAGUCAAAGAUCACUCAUGUCGUCUUCUGCACUACCUCUGGCGUCGACAUGCCUGGUGCUGACUACCAGCUCACCAAGCUUCUUGGUCUCCGUCCUUCCGUCAAGCGUCUCAUGAUGUACCAACAAGGUUGCUUCGCCGGCGGCACUGUCCUCCGUAUCGCCAAGGACCUGGCUGAGAACAACCGCGGAGCUCGUGUCCUUGUCGUCUGCUCUGAGAUCACAGCUGUCACCUUCCGUGGCCCCUCUGACACCCACCUUGACUCCCUCGUCGGUCAGGCUCUUUUCAGUGACGGCGCUGCCGCACUCAUCGUGGGGUCGGACCCUGACACAUCUGUCGGAGAGAAACCCAUCUUCGAGAUGGUGUCCGCCGCACAGACCAUCCUCCCAGACUCUGAUGGUGCCAUAGACGGACACUUGAGGGAAGUGGGUCUCACCUUCCAUCUCCUCAAGGAUGUUCCCGGCCUCAUCUCGAAGAACAUUGUGAAGAGUUUAGACGAAGCGUUUAAACCUUUGGGGAUAAGUGACUGGAACUCCCUCUUCUGGAUAGCUCACCCUGGAGGUCCUGCGAUCCUAGAUCAGGUGGAGUUAAAGCUAGGACUAAAGGAAGAGAAGAUGAGGAUGACACGUCACGUGUUGAGCGAGUAUGGAAACAUGUCGAGCGCGUGCGUUCUCUUCAUACUAGACGAGAUGAGGAGAAAGUCAGCCAAGGAUGGUGUGGCCACGACAGGGGAAGGGUUGGAGUGGGGAGUCUUGUUUGGUU
rnacentral:lncRNA from 1 species